rnacentral:lncRNA from 1 species
CUCUGAAAAAAAUUUAAAAAAACUUGACCAAAAUUCCAUAGCAAUUGAAUUCAGAUUCUCUUGAGCCCAGGACUUGCUCACACCAUUUCUCUGGAUAAAGGUUAUUAAAGUGGGAAAUUACCAAUACAGAGUCAAGUAGAAAUAUAAGAGUAUUUAAUAGGGAAAAGUCUUACUUACAGAGCAACCUAGCCAGCCGGUGCGGCAGCAGUCUGUACAGCGAGCCAAAAAGGAAAACCGAAAGUGAAACACAGCCCUGAACCUCUCACUCUACGUCACCCUGACCAUGCCCUAGCAGGCAUGGUUAGGCAGACCUGUAGCCAGCCCCUAAGUAGGCGUGGCUAAGGUUCCCCUACAAUUCCCCUUUUAGUCUAAAAGAGGAUUAAAACUUAACAGUGUAAAGUAUCCAAAAUUAACAAUUACAAAGGUGAAAUUUAAGAAGAUACAACAAUCUGCUCAUGUCACAUCCUAUCUAUCUAUUUUAACUAAACCCUAAAGUCAUCUGAAAGAGGUGUCCAAGCCUGAAUACCUCCUUCCAAUCCCAAUCAUAAACAAUAGGAAGCUAUCCCUAACUAGUUAUAUACACUAUCCUAAAUGACAACAAUGGGGAAAGGGGGCAUAGCAUCCUCCAAGUUACUUCCUGCUGAAAUGGGACGACUACAUCCUUGUGCAGUCCUGUAGGAAAAAAAAUGUUAGUAUAGUAAAAGUCUUGCAUGAAUUGUAUACAGUCCAUGUUAGAUGGGAUUUGGUUGAUUGAAGAUCUCACUUGAAAUCCUCAACUUGAUUGAAGUCAGUACCUGAAGCUCUGGCGGGAGUGUCAGUUGAAAUGGAGCAAGUUGAAUCUAGUGCAGGCGAGGAGGUGUGGCCCAUUUUCUUUCCGGGGUAUCCAGGGAUUGCUGUCAGGGAGGUCUUCAUUGGCUGCGUGGGACUCAAACAUAAACAGUUAUCAGAGAACUGUUUGCUUGUGAUGUACACAUACUGGGAAAGGCAACCAUGGGAGCAUAACAAUUAUGAGAGGGUAUACACCUUGAAAGUAAGAUCCAAGAAACGACAAAGACAGUUCCCAAAUUCUUCUUUUAUUCUGUAUUACAUCAAUUGCCUUCUUGAUACAAUACAGAAACUCUGAAGUUUAGUUAAAUAAUGUGCUUGGAUUUUAGAGGGGGAAAGCCAAAUCCACCUCUAAAUCCAGCAUUGGUUUAAUUGAAUAGGGACUAGAAAAGAGAAAUAGAAUUCUCUGGGGACAGCUGUAAAGUUAACCAUAUGGCACCUUCCUUUUGUUUGAUGGUUAUAGCUACCUUCUCUUCUUAAGUAUCUACCCACAGAGUGUCCUUUGCCUUCUGGAGAUGAGAUUUCCUGUGAAGAUAAAAGCAAAACACUUCCCUUUCCUUUGGGAGGUUUCUAUUUAGUUUAUAAGAUAUACCUUAGUAGAAUAACUGUCAUUUCUCCUCGUGGAGAGGUUUUUCCUUUUCAACUCGAAUCUUGAUCAACUUUGAUGGUAUCCAAAGUUUUUCUUCUCCUAUGGAAACCAAUGCAAAACCCCUACCCCAACGUAACACAUGUCCUGGAUUCCAUACAGAGGUUAGUACAUCUUUGAAGUAUACCGGCUGAUUCAGUUCAGCGGUUUUCUCCAUAGUCCAGUGUCUUUCUGCAGCUGUUUGUCCUUUUUCAUUGGCAUUAAGAAAGUUUAGUGUUAAUAAAGCAUUAUGCAACCUAUGUUUGGGUGGUUUAGUCUUCCAAGCUUGUUUGCUGAGCAUCUCCUUAAGUGUUCUAUUAGAUCUCUCAACCACUGCUUGUCCCGUAGGAUUGUGUGGUAUACUGGUGACAUGCUUUAUGUUAUAAUAUUUGAAAAAUUGUUCCAAUUUUGUGGAGACAUAUGCUGGAGCAUUGUCAGUUUAUCUUAUUGAUUGUUAAAUAAGGUACUGUUUGGCCAAUGAGACAGCAAGUUAGAUAGGACUAGGAGUCAAAGAGAAUUCUGGGAAAUGUAGUAGAGAUGUGGUGUUCCAGGCAGGAAGUGACAUAGCAAGGAGACAUAUUUAAGCAAGUGAAAGAGGAAGGGCUCCCCUUUUUCCUCUUUCUCCUCCAGCAGUGCAAUGUGAUCCACCGGCAAGGAGGGACACCAAUAAGGUGUCCGAUAAGGUAAGUCUUAUAACAUAUAUAGAUUUAUGAUAAUUAAGACUGAGCUAGCAGAUGAGAAUCCUAGUCAUUGGCCAAGCAGCAUUGUACCUAAUAUGUCUCUGUAUUAUUUUGUCCAUCCACAUGGUGGGCAGAACUCAGGCGGCUGGUGGAGACCGCCCAUGUGGCGGUAGGGAUCGGGCGGCUUUUGACGGAAAGAUUUAUCGUAACAGGUUAUCCAUUAGUGCAUGUGGGCCUUUUUGUUGUUGGAGCUUAUUGUUCUGUUUUUUUUUUUAUUCAUAUGUCUGCUUCACAGACUGAUUUUACAGUGGGACAGAGAUCAAAUAAGGAUAGUUUGAUUGGGAUUGGAGAUGUUGGAAGCCACAUGGUGAGGCUAAGUUGAAGACAGUGUUGGAAGGGAAGGUAAAAGUGGAUAGGGGAAAGUCAUGUGCCAGAACCCAGCUGUAGUGUCUGUAAUAUGUGGUACAUGGAAUCAUAGACUUUACCAGGAAGUCAGAACUAUGAGUGCAGCACUGUUUUCUGUCUAUGCCAUUGACUUUCAGUAAUGUUCGGGCACUCUAAGACAGGUAUUAGCUAAAUACAGAUAGGUCCUGGAUGAGGGUUGGAUAAUAUCUUUCAUGCCUACAAAGACCAUGGAUUAUGAAAACAAAUGAUGCUAGACAGAUUAAAAACAGAUAAACAUAGCACAGAAGUGGCAUGUGGUAAUGGGACAAAGACCCAUAGAUUGUCCAUAUGACUCUCCAAAUCAUACAGCUAGUCAGCAAUAAACCUUUUAAAAACACCAAGGUCUCUGGUUUUCUAUUACCACAGUUACUUACAUUCUUCAAGUGUAUACUUUUGUAUUCAUAAUCACAGAUGUAUUGACUCUAGUGCACUGCUUUAAACUCUCAAAAAAUCCAAGGCGUAGAGAAGAAAAGAAGAUAAAUGGCAUAGUCAGGUCUCCAAGCUAUUAGCUUAAGGCUCUCUCAACUUAUUCAAGAAGUUCCUAUAGAGUUGGAAAAUACACUUGAUUUGUGGGCAGCCAAAACACUAUGUGAGUGCAUAGUGAUAUUCUCCUAUGUGAAAAGCAGGAUAUAUUUUUAAUUAUACAUUCAGAAGGAAAACUGUUAUGUCUAUUAGGUUAACCUGCCUUAACCAUAAACUAAUAUGACUAUUAUGUUAAAAUAACUGGUGUAUAUUAUUGGUAGUUACCUCAUAGCAUAGCAUUGUGAAGUAGGAGAUUUGAAAAGUCCUAUAAAUAGUAUAGAAAAUACCAUUUUCAUAUUAAAGAUAAACAAUCAGAUUAGACUCAGCUUACUGAAAUAACAUUAGUAAGAAAUAUUCUUGUUGUUCCUAUCACAUAGUUGCCUCUUACUCAGAAAGCUGGGCUGGUAAAGCAGAGGUCAAAAGUCUAACUGGUAAAACUGUCUCCACCACGGAAUAGCCUUCUUUGCUGAGCACUCACAGUACAGUUGGAAUGAGGAUCAUAAAGGGGAUGGUAGCAUGAGUAGCCGAUGCCAGUGUCUUUGUAAUGGAUACUCUUCUAUACUUGAGAAAAGGGGUAAAGAGGCAAGUUUGUGCACAAGGACCCUGCAUUCUCUGUCAUGUGGUAUCACGUGGUAUUGCUCUGUCAAUGGGGCAUCUUCAGUAGUGAGAAUCAUAUUGGGAACUUUGAAGAUGACACAGCAAGUAGGAGUCAUAUUCUCAGAUCCAGUGAUGGAAGUAAUGACGUGCCCCCUCUUUUUGAAGAAAAGUUAGACACAUGAUUUUUAAAAAUUAGAAUUGAAUUAAGCUUUUUCAAACUUCAGUAUAGGUUAAGAAAGGAAAACAAAUUCAAGAUAGAAUGUCAUAUUUGAGUGUUAGCUUGUUGAAUUAUAGUACAGCUUAGGAUGUAGCUGUUCUAACAGGGCAGAGCAGAUCCUUGAUGCCUAAGACAGUACCAAAGAGCAAGAUGUGUGGGAAGCUCACAGGGAGCCUCUUAACAAAUUACUGUUGUUUUUAAGACACAUUUAUUCCCUGCCAGGAAGGAAAUACAGUAUUGGUGUAGGAAAAAAGACUGUAUAAAAAGAGGACUGGUUUGCAAGAAAGGAGUUUCCAUCUUGGUGACUCUGGUUUUUGUUUUGGUGACCUAGGAAAAGUCAUUCUUUCUAAGCCUUCACCUCCAAAAGUGAGGCUCCCUUCCCUGCCUUAACCAUUUUAUUGGUUUAUUGGUGAUCUAUAAGAGGAUGGUGUGUUAACAAAGCACUUUAUAAUAUGUAACAUGAUCUUCAAGUAAAAAGGGAAUGCUAACAGUUUGCUAAAUUGGUUUUCUAUAUGAAUAUAGUGAAAAGUGCAGUGAAAUCAGAGCAUAAGUUUCUGAAUUCCACAUUAUUAGCUGUACUACCUUUAGUAAGAUUUCUUUGUUUUCAGGUCCACUUUCCUCAUCCACAAACAGGAUAACAGUGCUUCUUUCUAUUGUGAGAAUUAAAACCUUCUGUAAAUAAGUCAUUGAGUGCUACAGUAAUUGUUCAACAAAUAUUUCAUUUCUAAAUAUACAGCUUAGUUUGAAGAUUUAGGUGAGGACAUUAUAAAAUAAUUACUAUUAUUUCUUAUUUCUGGAAGGAUGUGAUGUUAAACAAAAAUGAGUGAUUUAGUAGAUAAAUAAAACCUAAAACAGAUACAUUUCAGAAGGCUAUUGCAGAGAUGAAGUUGGGGCAAAGUUUCAGUCAAGAUGUGACUUAACUUGGUCUCUUGUGCAUGAGAAAGUUAUCAACAAACGUGGAUGCUGGAAAUGAUUUUCAUAAACAGGACAGCAGGGAAAAAACCCUGAAAGAAAGAAAAAAAGGAAGAAAGAAAGAAAGAAAGAAAGAAAGAAAGAAAGGAAGGAAGGAAGGAAGGAAGAAAAGAAAGAAAGGAAGGAAGAAAGAAAGAAAGAAAGAAAGAAAGAAAGAAAGAAAGAAAGAAAGACUAGGUUGUAUCUUCUAGAGAAGAUCAUGAAAGGUAGAGCACCCAGGGUGUGGAAAAUGUAAAUCUUAGGGGUGAAGACAGGAUCUACAGAUACCUACAAGGGCAUGGCAAACCUUGGUUGUAUCUCCUCAGGAGUUUGCUUUAUUCCAUGAAUUGUGAGAUGCCAUCCUAAAAACUGACAGAGAAGCACAAUAAAACUAGAACAUGGAGGAGGGAAUAAUGAGAAGUGGUACUAGGAGCUGAGACACUAUAGAAGCUAUAGAACUGAGACAGUGACAUGAGCUAAACUGUCAUGGAGGAGGAGGUGCUCUAACCAUCUCAAGGACAAGACUGUUGCUAGAUUUUACUGUGCAAUAAAUAUUGGUGUAAUAUUUCCAAAGGAAACAUUUCCUUUUUCCAUUAGAUCUCCUUCUAAAACUGAAAUUAUUUUGGUCAAUGAAGGAGAGCAUAGGAGGCUUUAACUGGCUUUCUGAGCACACCAGUUUUUAAGAUGGUUGAAUAGGGAGACCCGUGAUAAUAGAUCCCAUCUUAUGAACUUCUGUCUGACUCUCUUUCUGGUGGCCUCCUUUGAGAUAAUAGUUUGUGACUUCAAUAUGUUCCAUCAUUCUAAAAUAAAUCCAGCAUUCUUUUAUUUUACUCUCAGCUUUACAAUCAUCAGACCUCAUUAGUGUUGCCAAAAGAGAUUAUAUUAAAGCUUAAUACUAAAAUGUUAACAUCUGUUCUGGUCUUGGGUUUUAUUGAAAAUUUCAAACUUUUAGAUGUAGAAAUAUCAAACGGAAAGCAGAAGUUCCCAGUAUGGCUAAAGUGACUUUGUCUUUCUGACAGUGCUAGAGGAGAAUGGGAGAUAAAUUAUAUCCUUAGGGAAGAAUAAGAAAAGAAUCUCAUAGAUUUUUCUGUACUGAAUAUAUGCACUGGUCUCUGUUCAGGGUUGGUUAGUGUCAUAUAAGUUAAUUCUUUUUUAGAGGAAAUACUUUUUGCCCAUCUAGUUCUUUAGUUCCAUUUCUCAAGCUGUAGUAAUCAGGGUCCCAAUAGGAAACAGAUGGCCCCGUGAUGGGGUUACUUCAGGAAGAUGUGAUGAAGAGAUUACUAUGGAUAUGUGGACAAGAUGAAACAGUUAAACACCUUGUUUCUAUUAAGAGCCUAGCCCUGGAGCCAUUAUCAACCUUGGGUCUGAAGAAGCAUGAACUGAGUGAUUACUUGAAUUUAGGGCUGUGAAGCCAGGAGGGGGCCAUCUGUGACUGCUUCAUUGUCAACCUGAUUACAUGUAGAAUUUCCUAGGAGACUGAGUCACACCAUUGGGUGUGCCUAUAAGGGCAUUAGAAAGAUGACUAACUGAGGGGAAAGAUAAGUCCUGAGUGCAGGUGGCAUCAUUCUUUGGCCUAGGGGCACAGAUACUCUAAAUGAGGGGAAGGAUAAAGGCAGAAAAUGAAUUGUUCUCUAGUGUCCUCCUUGUCUCUGUUUCCUGACCCUCUGUGACAUGAAUUUUUCUGCCCUGCCAUGCCCUCUCUCCCAUGAUGGACAAACCAUUUCAAAUAGUGAGCUAAAAUAUACUUUUCAUGCCUUAUUAUCUUUGUCAAGAAUUUUUAUCACAACAUUUAAAAGAGUAGGUAAUACACUAUCCAUGGCCUUCGUAAAAAAUGCUGAUAGUGACUAAGUUAUGAUAUGACAGAAUGGUAUUUUAAAAAAGAUUAAAUGUACUCCUUUUUUUCCUUCCCUCCAGCUCUUGUUGUCUCUUGUGGGUAUUGCCACUGGACAUACCCAACUGGAAUCCAGUGUGCACAGGGCUGCUGUUCAAACUCCCUGAACACAAAGCAAGAUUAAUGAGACAGGUGGCUGUCUGUAUCAAGACUGUUAUGGACCAGCCCAUAUUUAGGAUUCAUUUGUUGUUGUUACCACCCAUGCUGAUGGGGUGGUUAAAGAUCUGAUUUUAGAGUAAGAAAGUCUUUUAUUUCUCAGUUUGGAAUUCAUUAACAUUGGGGAGUUGCACUUCUAAGAAGAUUUUUUUAAUUUAUAUAUUUAUUACAGACAAGGUCCCAUAUAACCCAAGCUAGAUUGAACUUUCUAAGUAACUGAGGAUCAACUUGAACUUACAAUUUUCUUACCAUCCCCUCCAAUGUACUUUUAUUACCUUUCUUCCUUCAUCUCCGCUUUUCUUGAUUACAAGCAUGUGGCACCAUUUUCAGUUUUACAGUGUACUGGGCCUUUAAGCAUUCUAUUCAAGCCUCUACCAACUGUAUUACACUCAUAGCUUCAAAAAGGCUUGUAUGUAGACCCUCUCUCUUAAUGGAAGGGCUUCUAAUUUGUCUACUUUUAUCCCACCUUAAAGGGAUCAUUGCCUCUCUGCUUUGUUUCUAUACAAUGAGAUAAAAACACCUACUCAAGAGGAUUGAUGUAGGGAUUGAACCAAAGUAGCUGCAAAAACGUUAUACAGGGAAUGCAUUAGAUUCAAUUUUUUUAGUCCAAAGUUCAAAUCUUCUGAUGGAAUCUGUAAUUUGAGUUGAGUGGUUGAUUCCACAGAUGGAGUAGGUUGUAUGUCAGUUACUUUUUUUUUUCUCUCACCUCAAUUAAAUGCUUACAAGAAGCAAAACAGAGGGAAGGGUUUAUUUUAGUUCAGCAUUCCAUGACAGGGAAGGAAUGGUGACUGGGGAUCCUACUUUGGUACUGCAGUUUGCUGUAGGUCACAGCAUCUGUUGUGGGAGAUUAGAAGCAAAGAGAGGAAGGAAGCAGAGCGGGUUAAAGCCUCAAGGAGUGGGCAUUAGCAGUAACUUCCUCUAGCAAGGGUGUACAUCCUAAAGGUUCCACAGCCUUCUAAAACAGCACUGUCAGCUAUGGAUUAAGUGUUCAAACCCAUGAGCCUGUAGGAGACAUUUUACAUUUAAACCACAACAGUUGGUAUAAUUGAGUGAAGCUGUUACGGUACUGGAUAUUAUGAAAUAAAAGUCUUUGACAGUUUUAGAGUCCAGAAAUUAAUUUAGGUUCAUUAUAUAUUGCUUCAUUAAAUUCUUUAUAGACAAUGGAAUCAUUGCUUUGGAUGUUCAACUUUUAAUUUUUUUUCAGACAAGAGUUGAAGAGUGAAUUGAUUUAUAUUUCCUUCAUUAGUACAUAAAAUUCGUAAGACAAAACAAAACAAAGACAAGGAAGAUACAACAAUGAACAUCAAAAUAAAGAAGCAAUAAGACAAAAAAGAAAACAAACAAAGCAAAAUGAAACAAAAAGUCUACAAAAUCAUUAUUGAGUUCAUUUUGUGUUUGUCAACUACUCUUGGGCAUGGGGCAUGCCCUGAAGUGUGGUUAAUAUAUUCAAUGAGACGCUAUUGGAGAAAACUAACUUUUUCUAUGUCAGUGGGUAUCAAUUGCAGAGAGCUUCUGGGUUAGGGGUUGGUGUCCUUGUCUACUUCCCCUUCUCAGUGCUGCAGUCCAUUAAACUUGAACUUGUACAGGACUUGUGCAUGCUGCCACAGUCUCUGUGAGUUCAUAUGGACAUCCAGUCCUGCUGUAUCUGGCAGAUGUUUCCUCAGAGUCAUCCAGCCUCUCUGACUCUUACAAUCUCUUUGCCUUCUCUUUCUCAUAUAUACCUGUGGCCUUGAUGCGAGGGCUUUGAUGAAAUCAUCCUGUUUAGGACUGACUGCUCCAAAGUCUCAUUCUGUGCACAUUGGAUCUCUGUUGUAGUUCCCAAUCUACUGCAAGAAGAUUCUUUGAUGAGAGAUGAGUGAGACACUGAUCUCUGGGAUUAACUGGAUGUUUUAUUGGGAUUUUUGUUGUUGUUUUUGUUUUUGAGACAGGGUUUCUGUGUGUAACAGUCCUGGAUGUCCUAGAACAUGCUUUGUAGACCAGGCUGGCCUUGAACUCACAGAGAUCCACCUGCCUCUACCUCCCAAGCACUGGGAUUAAAGGUGUGCACCAUCACUGUCCAGCUUAUUGAUACUUCUUUAACAGAAUAAAGUGUUAAAUUUUCCCAUAGGAAAAUUCUGUCUAUGAUCUAUCUUGUCUCAAUUUCUUUGGCCACUUUUCCUUUGUCAGGUAUGGAUUCUAUCUUAAGAGUGGGCCUUAAAUAUAGUCACAAAGUGGUUAGUUACUCCUAUAAUAUUUGUGCCCCUGUUGAACCAGUAUAUCUUUCAGGCAGAUCACUGUUGUAGGUCAGAAGGUUUAUAAUAAUAUGUGAUGAUAUAGCCUGUAUGUGGCUUGUGGUCUAAAGGUUUUAUAUGCUGGAGGCUUUGUCUCAAGAGAAGAAAGGUUAUAGUGGUGGAACAUUUAGCAAAUGGUGUACUAAAUAGUUUGUGAACUUGACAUAAACCAGAAAACUUGACACCUAGGAAGAAAGAAACUCAAUUGAGGAAUUGCCUCUGUGAGAUUAGCCUGUGCUGUGGUCAUGUUGUGUGUGUGUGUGUGGGGCGUUUCUUGACUACUAUUUGAUAUAGAAGAACCAAGCUCAUUGUGGGAAAUGUCACCCUUGGGAAGGUACAAUUGGGCUGUAUAAGAAAAGUAACUGAUCAAGCCAGAGAAAAUAAGCCAGCAAAUAGCAGUCUCUCAUAGUCUCGCUUUUGGUUCCUGCCUCCAGGUCCCUGCCUCAAAUUCUUGUCUUGCCUUCCAUGGAUAAUUGUCUGUAGCCUAUAAGCCCAUCCUCCCUAAGUUGCUUUUGGUAAUGGUGUUUAAUCACAAUAAGAGAACAAGUGGGGUUAGGGAAACUUUAUUAGGUCAUGGGGCAUUGUUGCUUGUCCUAGAAAAAGAGAUGUAUAAACUGAGGACAUGACCUCUCCAUGGUAUGAUUAAGGGGAAAAUUUUGUUGUAGAUAUGGGGAGGGGGUGGCAGACAGAAGCAUGUGGAAGAGUACAGAGCAGAGAGAGAAAGUAGUAGACUGAGCAUGGUCAGUAAAUUGGACUUGGCCAUAAAAGAAGCAGGGCUGAGCAGAGAGACACAGAGAGGGGGAGAGGGAAAGGGAGUGGGAGGGAGGUGAGAGGAGGAGGGAGGGAGAGAGAGAGAGGGAGGGAG